rnacentral:lncRNA from 1 species
CCAAGCCAUGCUUGCACGGGUGCCAGCUCCGCCACUGUGGUGCUCUGAGGCCGCUGCAAUGCCGCUUCACUGAGCAUGAGGGAAGCAGCGGAGCAGCAUCCUGCACAGCCAGCAGAGCUGCUGCGUGCCCUUGUUAUCUCUAGGUUCAUGCACUGGCUCUGGACUGCACCCUGGGAGAAAAGGCAAGGGAGCGUUGCUGGCAGAGAACUUCCCCUCUGCUGCCACAGCUGAAUGUGGGCACCGCCAAGCCUGGAGUCCUCUUCUAGGCCGUCAUCACCAGGGGCAUCUGUAGCCAGCCAGACUUUGUGGUCUGCCAGCAGCACUUUUCCCUAGUGCCAAAUCUGUGCGAUUUGCUUCACCAUAUUCAUCCUCCACUAAAAGGGUGAAUGCUUAUGAAGUUAACACAUCUGUUCAGUAUAUAAAUCCUACCACAUCAAACAAAAUAGGUGUUUGUGGUGUUUGCCUAGCAUACCUCUAGGAUUCUGGAGUUAUGUCACAGAAUGGUAUGACUCAGAAGUGUGACUGGUGCCUCCUCCUUCUCCUGACCCCUGUCAGAGUGCUUAGCACAACCAGCCAUAAGCUGCAGGGUUGCCUGGAGAUGGUGACACCCGUCCUGGAACAGGGAAGUGUAACAGCAUGGGGAACGCUGUCUGUAAAAUUCAGCAAACCCUAA